CUACGGAGGGUCCGAGCGUUAAUCGGAAUUACUGGGCGUAAAGCGCGCGUAGGUGGCUAUAUAAGUCAGAUGUGAAAGCCCUGGGCUCAACCUAGGAACUGCAUUUGAAACUGUAUGGCUAGAGUAUGGUAGAGGUGAGUGGAAUUUCAGGUGUAGCGGUGAAAUGCGUAGAGAUCUGAAGGAACAUCAGUGGCGAAGGCGACUCACUGGGCCAUUACUGACACUGAGGUGCGAAAGCGUGGGUAGCAAACAGGAUUAGAAACCCUAGUAGUCC
rnacentral:rRNA from 1 species